rnacentral:misc_RNA from 1 species
GAUGAAUAACGCAGCGAAAUGCGAUAAGUAAUGUGAAUUGCAAAUUCAGUGAAUCAUCGAGUCUUUGAACGCACAUUGCGCCCCCUGGUAUUCCGGGGGGCAUGCCUGUCCGAGCGUCAUUGCUGCCCUCAAGCACGGCUUGUGUGUUGGGCCCCGUCCUCCGAUCCCGGGGGACGGGCCCGAAAGGCAGCGGCGGCACCGCGUCCGGUCCUCGAGCGUAUGGGGCUUUGUCACCCGCUCUGUAGGCCCGGCCGGCGCUUGCCGAUCAACCCAAAUUUUUAUCCAGGUUGACCUCGGAUCAGGUAGGGAUACCCGCUGAACUUAAGCAUAUCAAUAAGCGGAGGA